ACAGUUGGGAAAUUUUUAGUUUAUUGCAUACCAUUGAUGUAUUUAUCUUCUUAACUGUAUAUGUGUACUUGUGUAGGCCACUAAUUGAAAUCGCAGGAUUCUCCCGUUGAGGAUAUUUUUGGGUCAUUGUCCAUCCUUUGUUGGGCACAAUAGACCAAUGGUCUGGAUUACUAAACCAUAGGCCCCAGUUUUAUUUUUAGAUGGUGAUCGUAAUUUACGAGCUUGGUUUUAUCAAGGUGAUUGCGAAAUUAGAUUCUUGCUAUUCUUUUCAAGUAGGAUUUAUCAUGCUGCCAUUCCUACUAAUUUCGUGUUGCAAAAGUAUAGGUCAUUUUGGAUUCAAUCUUCUGUCAUUCAGAUUGAGUUAUAUAAUAAAGUAUUCUUCAUGUAUAAAAUGGUUCACCAAAAUAUACCAACACCAUCUAAAUUACCUGGUGCUUUCACAGGAUUAGGGACUUCAGUGAAUGGGCUCAGUGUCUUUUACUUGACUUGGUCUCUAGAUAUAUCCCCUCAGAUAUAUAGCAAUGAGAUAUUUGACAUAAUGAAUCUCCUUGAGGAUAGGCUUCAGCAUGCAAAUGGUGUUGUUGUUUUAGCAACAACUAAGGUGUUUCUCCAUUUGACAAUGUCCAUGACUAAUGUCCAUCAACAGGCCAUGGCAACUUGAUCAGUGAGCAUUUCUGUUUUGGGAGGAUGUAAUUUUGAGAUGACAAAGAAAAAGUACAGAUUUGGCAAUUUAGGCAACUGUGUGAAAUAGUUUGAGGACAUGUCUGCAUAUAAAGACAAAGUCAUUGCAACGUGGGCGCACGUGGCCGGGGAAAAUGUUGUGUUUCUGUAUGCUCAGAGAUCCGUGUAAAUGAUAUAGACAAGGUAAGAUGAUGACAUGAUUUUUUGUAUACUAUACUCAUACUUGUAGAGAGAAAUGUAUCGUUCCUCCAGGCCUUACAUGAAUUGGGUUGUCCUGAUAGGUUAUGGCAAAUGCUGACAAGGGAUCGAACUUUGUAGGACAGAGCACAUGGGAUGUGCUAGGUAUACUGUGCACCAACAUCUGAAACCAGCCCUCUAGGAAGCGGAGUCUUCAACCGUUUGAGCAGUGUGGCCUAUGGUUUUAAUGAUCCUGUCAUCAGUUUGUUUGGGCCACAAUAUGUAUGGGUUGUCACCUGAGCUGGAGGGUUACGAAUUUACUUUCUUCAUUUUAUCUAUGGCAAGUGUUACAUGUAUAUCUGUUCAUCACAUUCGACACAUGUAAAAAGGGGUUGGCGAAGUAUGGUUCCAUUAGUUGGUGAAGGUUAUAGAUAUGUUUACUUGUGAACUAUAUCAUUGAUGAAAAGUUUAAAAGUAAUGAAAUGAUUAAGAUGAAACCGUUCUUGUUAUGAAAUAUAUGGUUU